rnacentral:rRNA from 1 species
UACGAAGGGGGCUAGCGUUGUUCGGAAUUACUGGGCGUAAAGCGCGUGUAGGCGGGUCCUUAAGUCAGGGGUGAAAUGCCGAGGCUCAACCUCGGAACUGCCUUUGAUACUGGGGAUCUUGAGUCCGGGAGAGGUGAGUGGAACUGCGAGUGUAGAGGUGAAAUUCGUAGAUAUUCGCAAGAACACCAGUGGCGAAGGCGGCUCACUGGCCCGGAACUGACGCUGAGACGCGAAAGCGUGGGAGCAACAGG